CUCACCACAUAAAUCACCGUCACUGAAGUUGUACUCAGAGACAAGAAAUACUUUGUGAGCCUGUUACAACAACGACAUUGUUGAAGACGUAAUCAUUUGUUUGUUUGUGCCACAAAGUUCUAGUUAGUUGUAACCAGGAAGGAAGCAGCCUUCCAUAUUUAUUUAUUUAGUCAAAUGUGAUAUGUACAGUACAGAGACAGAGGCUGUAUAGAGUUUUUAAUACACCAGGUACAAUUCUUAUAAACCAAUCACACUGUUCUUAUUACAUAAGUCAUUGGGAAAACACCAUAGAUAGUACCUAAUUACCGUUUAUAAAAGAUGACAAGGAACAGUCAUAAAAAUACAUAGUGUAGGAUUACUAUUUUUCUCUCAUGAUUCAAACAAUAAACGCAUAAUUUUUAAAAAAAAUGAAUGAAAAUGUGCAUGAAGUAAUAUUUGCUAUACAAAAAAUGACUCGUUGGAUAUGGCAGGCACUUGAUCCACUUCCAAGUCUAACGUGCGGAACACUGUGGAAACAUCAAGCACCAAAACCAGCUGUUUGGUUAGAAUAUUCUCCCCCUUCCCCCGACUCCUCCUCUUCCUUACAACCCAGAAAAUACAUUAAAAAGCAGAGAAAGGAGUAAUACGGUAGCAAUAUGUUUGGAACGGAGGGCGAUAUCACUUAUUGAGAAGCAUAUAAAACUAUGGUGAGAGAGUGUGAAAGAGAGGAAAAGAGGCAAACAGACAGAGAGAGAGAGUGAGAGAGAGAGAGAGGGGCGAAGAGAGAGAGAGAGAGGCGAAGAGAGAAAGAGAGAGAGAGAGGGGCGAAGAGAGAGAGAGAGAGAGAGGGGCGAAGAGAGAGAGAGAGAGAGGGGCGAAGAGAGAAAGAGAGAGAGAGAGGGGCGAAGAGAGAGAGAGAGAGAGAGGCGAAGAGAGAAAGAGAGAGAGAGAGGGGCGAAGAGAGAGAGAGAGAGAGGGGCGAAGAGAGAAAGAGGAGAGAGAGGGGCGAAGAGAGAAAGAGAGAGAGGGAGAGAGAGAGAGAGGGGCGGAGAGAGAGAGAGAGAGGCGAAGAGAGAAAGAGAGAGAGAGAGGGGCGAAGAGAGAGAGAGAGAGGGAGGCGAAGAGAGAAAAGAGAGAGAGAGAGGGGCGAAGAGAGAAAGAGAGAGAGGGGUGAAGAGAGAAAGAGAGAGAAAGCAAGAGAGGAAAUGAUAAUAAAUUGCAAAAUAGAGAGCGUGAAUAUGGAAGUAUGGAAAUGUCAAAUGUGCCUUUUCUCCAGCCCUGGUCUGUUCCAGCGGCUCAGUGGAAUACUUCUGAGGAAGCAAUAGAAUACAUCGCUAGUCAGGUCAAUCUACCCUUACAGACUGCCUCAUUCCCACCUCCCACUUGUCUUAUUCGCUUCACUCCUCUCCUAUUGCCGUUUCAUUGACACCCAUUGUUUCAACAUCUGCCAAGGUAUAUUCAAAGACAUGGGAGGCAUCACAUUACAG
ensembl:lncRNA